rnacentral:rRNA from 1 species
GGGCCCGCACAAGCGGUGGAGCAUGUGGUUUAAUUCGAUGAUACGCGAGGAACCUUACCAGGGCUUAAAUGUAGAGUGACAGGGCUAGAGAUAGCUUUUUCUUCGGACACUUUACAAGGUGCUGCAUGGUUGUCGUCAGCUCGUGCCGUGAGGUGUCAGGUUAAGUCCUAUAACGAGCGCAACCCCUACUGCUAGUUGCUAACAGGUUAAGCUGAGGACUCUAGUGGGACUGCCGGUGCAAACCGCGAGGAAGGUGGGGAUGACGUCAAAUCAUCACGGCCCUUACGUCCUGGCUACACACGUGCUACAAUGGUAGAGACAAUGAGCAGCCACUGCGUGAGCAGGAGCGAA